rnacentral:rRNA from 1 species
GAAUCUUCCACAAUGGACGAAAGUCUGAUGGAGCAACGCCGCGUGAGCGAUGAAGGCCUUCGGGUCGUAAAGCUCUGUUGUUAGGGAAGAACAAGUACCGGAGUAACUGCCGGUACCAUGACGGUACCUAACCAGAAAGCCACGGCUAACUACGUGCCAGCCGCCGCGGUAAUACGUAGGUGGCAAGCGUUGUCCGGAAUUAUUGGGCGUAAAGCGCGCGCAGGCGGCCCUUUAAGUCUGAUGUGAAAGCCCACGGCUCAACCGUGGAGGGUCAUUGGAAACUGGGGGACUUGAGUGCAGAAGAGGAAAGCGGAAUUCCACGUGUAGCGGUGAAAUGCGUAGAGAUGUGGAGGAACACCAGUGGCGAAGGCGGCUUUCUGGUCUGUAACUGACGCUGAGGCGCGAAAGCGUGGGGAGCAAACA